rnacentral:rRNA from 1 species
GAUGAACGCUGGCGGCGUGCUUAACACAUGCAAGUCGAACGAAGCGCUUUGAUUGAUUUCUUCGGAUUGAUUUCGAAGUGACUUAGUGGCGGACGGGUGAGUAACGCGUGGGUAACCUGCCUCGUACAGGGGGAUAACAGUUAGAAAUGACUGCUAAUACCGCAUAACCCGCUAGGAUCGCAUGAUCCGGACGGAAAAGAUUUAUCGGUACGAGAUGGACCCGCGUCUGAUUAGCUAGUUGGUGAGGUAACGGCCCACCAAGGCGACGAUCAGUAGCCGGCCUGAGAGGGUGAACGGCCACAUUGGGACUGAGACACGGCCCAAACUCCUACGGGAGCAGCAGUGGGGAAUAUUGCACAAUGGGGGAAACCCUGAUGCAGCGACGCCGCGUGAGUGAAGAAGUAUUUCGGUAUGUAAAGCUCUAUCAGCAGGAGAAAUGACGGUACCUGACUAAGAAGCCCCGGCUAACUACGUGCCAGCAGCC